rnacentral:misc_RNA from 1 species
GGAAUGGCGCAUUAUUACUGGUGGUGAUCCGAAAAACACGCCUUGGUCUUACCAUAAUGGAGGAUCCUGGCCAACGUUGCUCUGGCAGCUGACUGUGGCAUGCAUAAAAAUGAAGAGGCCUGAAAUAGCUGAAAAAGCAAUUAAGAUUGCGGAAAGACGCUUAUCCAGAGAUAGGUGGCCUGAGUACUACGAUACAAGGCGAGGAGGGUUCAUUGGGAAACAAGCACGUCUGUUUCAGACAUGGACUAUUGCAGGAUAUCUAGUGGCAAAGCUGCUUAUUGCCAAUCCAGAGGCUGCAAAGAUGGUAAUCAAUGUGGAGGAUACAGAACUUCUAAGUGCUUUUUCAAGCAUUCUGAGUUCAAACCCAAGGCGAAAACGAUCACGAAAAGGAGUUAAACAGUCCUUCAUCAUAUGAAAGUUUUAUUUUUGUUACUUAAGCCUUAAGUGUGUACUAUUGACCUGAGAUGAACUCAAAUGGAAUGAUAAUUGUCAGUGGAGAUUCAUAUAGUCGAAAACGAUCACGAAA